GUGGACUCAUAUAAUCAAUUCCAAAGCAGAUCCUGUCUGAUCUUGGAAGCUAAGUAGGGUCAACCUGGAUUAGUACUUAGAUGGGAAGCCAUUAAUAAAUACUCUAGCUGGAUCUACA
rnacentral:rRNA from 11 species